rnacentral:rRNA from 1 species
GAUGAACGCUAGCGACAGGCCUAACACAUGCAAGUCGAGGGGCAGCACAUGAGUAGCAAUACGAUGGUGGCGACCGGCGCACGGGUGAGUAACACGUAUGCAACCUACCGGUAAAAGGGGGAUAGCCUCUCGAAAGAGAGAUUAAUACCGCAUAAUAUCUCUGGAUGGCAUCAUUUAGAGAUUAAACAUUUAUGGUUUACCGAUGGGCAUGCGUAUGAUUAGCUAGUAGGUGAGGUAACGGCUCACCUAGGCAACGAUCAUUAGGGGUUCUGAGAGGAAGGUCCCCCACAUUGGAACUUAGACACGGUCCAGACUCCUACGGGAGGCAGCAGUGAGGAAUAUUGCGCAAUGGACGAAAGUCUGACGCAGCGACGCCGCGUGAAGGAUGAAGGUCUUCGGAUUGUAAACUUCUGUUAAGUGGGAAUAAAGUCUUGCAUUUAAUACAUGCAGGAGAUGAAGGUACCAUUAGAGAAAGCACCGGCUAACUUCGUGCCAGCCGCCGCCGUAA